UACGGUGAGUUUUGCAGGUUUGCAUUUCAGCAUGUAUGUAUCUAUGGCUGUGCAAAUCCAUGCAAAACUGAUUGUGAG
rnacentral:pre_miRNA from 15 species